AGUGAACGCUGGCGGUAGGCCUAACACAUGCAAGUCGAACGGCAGCACAGUAAGAGCUUGCUCUUACGGGUGGCGAGUGGCGGACGGGUGAGGAAUACAUCGGAAUCUACUUUUUCGUGGGGGAUAACGUAGGGAAACUUACGCUAAUACCGCAUACGACCUACGGGUGAAAGCAGGGGAUCUUCGGACCUUGCGCGAUUGAAUGAGCCGAUGUCGGAUUAGCUAGUUGGCGGGGUAAAGGCCCACCAAGGCGACGAUCCGUAGCUGGUCUGAGAGGAUGAUCAGUAACACUGGAAAUGAGACAUGGUCCAGACUCUUGCGGGAGGCAGCGGUGGGGAAUAUUGGAAGAUGGGGGCAGGCCUGAUCCAGCCAUAACGCGUGGGUGAAGAAGGCCUUCGGGUUGUAAAGCCCGUUUGUUGGGAAAGAAGAGAAGAAGGUUAAUACCCCGCUGUUCUGACGGUACCCAAAGAAUAGGCAACGGCUAAGUUCGUG
rnacentral:rRNA from 1 species